rnacentral:rRNA from 1 species
GACGGCCUUCGGGUUGUAAACCUCUUUCAGCAGGGAAGAAGCGCAAGUGACGGUACCUGCAGAAGAAGCACCGGCUAACUACGUGCCAGCAGCCGCGGUAAUACGUAGGGUGCAAGCGUUGUCCGGAAUUAUUGGGCGUAAAGAGCUCGUAGGCGGCCUGUCACGUCGGAUGUGAAAGCCCGGGGCUUAACCCCGGGUCUGCAUUCGAUACGGGCAGGCUAGAGUUCGGUAGGGGAGAUCGGAAUUCCUGGUGUAGCGGUGAAAUGCGCAGAUAUCAGGAGGAACACCGGUGGCGAAGGCGGAUCUCUGGGCCGAUACUGACGCUGAGGAGCGAAAGCGUGGGGAGCGAACAGGAUUAGAUACCCUGGUAGUCCACGCCGUAAACGUUGGGAACUAGGUGUGGGCGACAUUCCACGUCGUCCGUGCCGCAGCUAACGCAUUAAGUUC